GACGAACGCUGGCGGCGUGCUUAACACAUGCAAGUCGAACGGAGCACCCCUGAAGGAGUUUUCGGACAACGGAUGGGAAUGCUUAGUGGCGGACUGGUGAGUAACGCGUGAGGAACCUGCCUUCCAGAGGGGGACAACAGUUGGAAACGACUGCUAAUACCGCAUGAUACAUUUGAAUCGCAUGGUUUGAAUGUCAAAGAUUUAUCGCUGGAAGAUGGCCUCGCGUCUGAUUAGCUAGUUGGUGAGGUAACGGCCCACCAAGGCGACGAUCAGUAGCCGGACUGAGAGGUUGGCCGGCCACAUUGGGACUGAGAUACGGCCCAG
rnacentral:rRNA from 1 species